rnacentral:tRNA from 1 species
UGCCGGAGUGGAGCAGUCGGGUAGCUCGCUAGGCUCAUAACCUAGAGGUCGGUGGUUCAAAUCCAUCCUCCGCAACCA